UACUUGUACCUGGUGGCGAGCGGCGGACGGGUGAGUAAUGCCUAGGAAUCUGCCUGGUAGUGGGGGAUAACGCUCGGAAACGGACGCUAAUACCGCAUACGUCCUACGGGAGAAAGCAGGGGACCUUCGGGCCUUGCGCUAUCAGAUGAGCCUAGGUCGGAUUAGCUAGUUGGUGAGGUAAUGGCUCACCAAGGCGACGAUCCGUAACUGGUCUGAGAGGAUGAUCAGUCACACUGGAACUGAGACACGGUCCAGACUCCUACGGGAGGCAGCAGUGGGGAAUAUUGGACAAUGGGCGAAAGCCUGAUCCAGCCAUGCCGCGUGUGUGAAGAAGGUCUUCGGAUUGUAAAGCACUUUAAGUUGGGAGGAAGGGCAGUUACCUAAUACGUGAUUGUUUUGACGUUACCGACAGAAUAAGCACCGGCUAACUCUGUGCCAGCAGCCGCGGUAAUACAGAGGGUGCAAGCGUUAAUCGGAAUUACUGGGCGUAAAGCGCGCGUA
rnacentral:rRNA from 1 species